UACGUAGGGGGCAAGCGUUGUCCGGAUUUAUUGGGCGUAAAAAGCGUGUAGGCGGCUUCACAGGUCUGCUGUGAAAACUCGAGGCUCAACCUCGAGCUGUCGGUGGAAACCGUGGGGCUAGAGUCCGGAAGAGGAGAGUGGAAUUCCCGGUGUAGCGGUGAAAUGCGCAGAUAUCGGGAAGAACACCCGUGGCGAAGGCGGCUCUCUGGGACGGUACUGACGCUGAGACGCGAAAGCGUGGGGGGCAAACAGG
rnacentral:rRNA from 1 species